rnacentral:rRNA from 1 species
UACGUAGGUGACGAGCGUUGUCCGGAUUUACUGGGCGUAAAGAGCGCGCAGGCGGUCGUUCGAGUCGAGUGUGAAAUCCCCGGGCUCAACCUGGGAACUGCAUCUGUGACUGCAUCGCUGGAGUGCGGCAGAGGGGGAUGGAAUUCCGCGUGUAGCAGUGAAAUGCGUAGAUAUGCGGAGGAACACCGAUGGCGAAGGCAAUCCCCUGGGCCUGCACUGACGCUCAUGCACGAAAGCGUGGGGAGCAAACAGG